rnacentral:antisense_RNA from 1 species
CUUGGCAUCCGGCCGGUCCGCCAGGAGCCGGUUGCCGACCGCAUGCAUCAGGUGGGUCUUGCCGAGGCCGACGCCGCCAUA